rnacentral:rRNA from 1 species
UACGUAGGGUGCAAGCGUUGUCCGGAAUUAUUGGGCGCAAAGAGCUCGUAGGCGGUUUGUCGCGUCUGCCGUGAAAGUCCGGGGCUCAACUCCGGAUCUGCGGUGGGUACGGGCAGACUAGAGUGAUGUAGGGGAGACUGGAAUUCCUGGUGUAGCGGUGAAAUGCGCAGAUAUCAGGAGGAACACCGAUGGCGAAGGCAGGUCUCUGGGCAUUAACUGACGCUGAGGAGCGAAAGCAUGGGGAGCGAACAGG